GAUGAACGCUGGCGGCGUGCCUAACACAUGCAAGUCGAGCGAUCUUCUUCGGAAGAGAGCGGCGGACGGGUGAGUAACGCGUGGGUAACCUGCCUCAUACACAUGGAUAACAUACCGAAAGGUAUGCUAAUACAAGAUAAUAUAAGAGAUUCGCAUGAAUUUCUUAUCAAAGCUCCGGCGGUAUGAGAUGGACCCGCGUCUGAUUAGUUAGUUGGUAAGGUAACGGCUUACCAAGGCGACGAUCAGUAGCCGACCUGAGAGGGUGAUCGGCCACAUUGGAACUGAGACACGGUCCAAACUCCUACGGGAGGCAGCAGUGGGGAAUAUUGCACAAUGGGCGAAAGCCUGAUGCAGCAACGCCGCGUGAGCGAUGAAGGCCUUCGGGUCGUAAAGCUCUGUCCUCAAGGAAGAUAAUGACGGUACUUGAGGAGGAAGCCCCGGCUAACUACGUGCCAGCCGCCGCAGUAAAAC
rnacentral:rRNA from 1 species